rnacentral:sRNA from 1 species
AAGAUUAGCACCUUCCGGGGCUAUGCC